AUUGAACGCUGGCGGCAGGCCUAACACAUGCAAGUCGAGCGAGCGGCGGACGGGUGAGUAAUGUAUGGGGAUCUGCCCGAUAGAGGGGGAUAACUACUGGAAACGGUAGCUAAUACCGCAUACUAUCGGAUGUACCCAUAUGGGAUUAGCUAGUAGGUAGGGUAAAGGCUCACCUAGGCGACGAUACCUAGCUGGUCUGAGAGGAUGAUCAGCUACACUGGGACUGAGACACGGUCCAGACUCCUACGGGAGGCAGCAGUGGGGAAUAUUGCACAAUGGGCGCAAGCCUGAUGCAGCCAUGCCGCGUGUAUGAAGAAGGCCUUCGGGUUGUAAAGUACUUUCAGCGGGGAGGCGUUACCCGCAGAAGAAGCACCGGCUAACUCCGUGCCAGCAGCCGCGGUAAUAC
rnacentral:rRNA from 1 species